rnacentral:sRNA from 1 species
AUAUGCAUUAAACGAUAGUAGAGUAAACAAUAAAAUCAAUCAGAUAAAGAAUUCCCGAGGAUGGGGUAAUUGGGUAGUUUCGUUUCCUCAGUUUACAGGUGAUUGACAUGCUCAAUAAAUUAUCCCUAGACAACAAGUUCAUUAACAAAAUCUAAGUGCCACGGCAAU